rnacentral:siRNA from 1 species
UGAACCGAUUAUUGAAGAGGCUA